AUUGAACGCUGGCGGCAGGCCUAACACAUGCAAGUCGAGCGGAUGAAGGGAGCUUGCUCCUGGAUUCAGCGGCGGACGGGUGAGUAAUGCCUAGGAAUCUGCCCGGUAGUGGGGGAUAACGUCCGGAAACGGGCGCUAAUACCGCAUACGUCCUGAGGGAGAAAGUGGGGGAUCUUCGGACCUCACGCUAUCAGAUGAGCCUAGGUCGGAUUAGCUAGUUGGUGGGGUAAAGGCCUACCAAGGCGACGAUCCGUAACUGGUCUGAGAGGAUGAUCAGUCACACUGGAACUGAGACACGGUCCAGACUCCUACGGGAGACAGCAGUGGGGAAUAUUGGACAAUGGGCGAAAGCCUGAUCCAGCCAUGCCGCGUGUGUGAAGAAGGUCUUCGGAUUGUAAAGCACUUUAAGUUGGGAGGAAGGGCAGUAAGUUAAUACCUUGCUGUUUUGACGUUACCAACAGAAUAAGCACCGGCUAACUUCGUG
rnacentral:rRNA from 1 species